rnacentral:rRNA from 1 species
CUACGGGACGCACCAGUGGGGAAUAUUGCACAAUGGAGGAAACUCUGAUGCAGCAACGCCGCGUGGAGGAUGACACUUUUCGGAGCGUAAACUCCUUUUAUAUAGGAAGAAGAUGACGGUACUAUAUGAAUAAGCGCCGGCUAACUCCGUGCCAGCAGCCGCGGUAAUACGGAGGGCGCAAGCGUUACUCGGAAUCACUGGGCGUAAAGAGCGUGUAGGCGGAUUAAAAAGUCAGAAGUGAAAUCCUAUAGCUUAACUAUAGAACUGCUUCUGAAACUCUUAAUCUAGAAUAUGGGAGAGGUAGAUGGAAUUUCUGGUGUAGGGGUAAAAUCCGUAGAGAUCAGAAGGAAUACCGAUUGCGAAGGCGAUCUACUAGAACAUUAUUGACGCUGAGACGCGAAAGCGUGGGGAGCAAACAGGAUUAGAUACCCGAUAGUC